rnacentral:rRNA from 1 species
GAUGAGAUCUCACUGGGAACUUGAUUCCCCUGAAGGGCCGUCGAAGACUACGACGUUGAUAGGCUGGGUGUGUAAGCGUUGUGAGGCGUUGAGCUAACCAGUACUAAUUGCCCGUGAGGCUUGACCAUAUAACACCCAAACA